rnacentral:rRNA from 1 species
AAUAAGCGGAGGAAAAGAAACUAACAAGGAUUCCCCUAGUAACUGCGAGUGAAGCGGGAAAAGCUCAAAUUUAAAAUCUGGCGGUCUUUGGCCGUCCGAGUUGUAGUCUGGAGAAGUGUUUUCCGUGCUGGACCGUGUACAAGUCUCUUGGAACAGAGCGUCAUAGAGGGUGAGAAUCCCGUCUUUGACACGGACUACCAGUGCUUUGUGAUGCGCUCUCAAAGAGUCGAGUUGUUUGGGAAUGCAGCUCAAAAUGGGUGGUAAAUUCCAUCUAAAGCUAAAUAUUGGCGAGAGACCGAUAGCGAACAAGUACCGUGAGGGAAAGAUGAAAAGCACUUUGGAAAGAGAGUUAAACAGUACGUGAAAUUGCUGAAAGGGAAACGCUUGAAGUCAGUCGCGUUGAUCAGAACUCAGCCUUGCUUUUGCUUGGUGCAUUUUCUGGUUGACGGGCCAGCAUCGAUUUUGACCAUCGGAAAAAGGCCAGGGGAAUGUGGCACCUUCGGGUGUGUUAUAGCCCUUGGUCACAUACGGUGGUUGGGAUCGAGGACCGCAGCACGCCUUUAUGGCCGGGGUUCGCCCACGUUCGUGCUUAGGAUGCUGGCGUAAUGGCUUUAAACGACCCGUCUUGAAACACGGACCAAGGAGUCUAACAUGCCUGCGAGUGUUUGGGUGGAAAACCCGAGCGCGUAAUGAAAGUGAAAGUUGAGAUCCCUGUCGUGGGGAGCAUCGACGCCCGGACCUGAACUUCGGUGAUGGCUCUGCGGUAGAGCAUGUAUGUUGGGACCCGAAAGAUGGUGAACUAUGCCUGAAUAGGGUGAAGCCAGAGGAAACUCUGGUGGAGGCUCGUAGCGAUUCUGACGUGCAAAUCGAUCGUCAAAUUUGGGUAUAGGGGCGAAAGACUAAUCGAACCAUCUAGUAGCUGGUUCCUG